rnacentral:rRNA from 1 species
GAUGAACGCUGGCGGCGUGCCUAAUACAUGCAAGUCGAGCGAACAGACGAGGAGCUUGCUCCUCUGACGUUAGCGGCGGACGGGUGUGUAACACGUGGAUAACCUACCUAUAAGACUGGGAUAACUUCGGGAAACCGGAGCUAAUUCCGGCUAACAUGCUGAACCGCAUGGUUCAACAGUGAAAGACGGCUUUGCUUUCACUUAUAGAUGGAUCCGCGUCGCAUUAGCUAGUUGGUAAGGUAACGGCUUACCAAGGCCACGAUGCGUAGCCGACCUGAGAGGGUGAUCAGCCACACUGGAACUGAGACACGGUCCAGACUCCUACGGGAGGCAGCAGUAGGGAAUCUUGCGCAAUGGGCGAAAGCCUGACGGAGCAACGCCGCGUGAGUGAAGAAGGUCUUCGGAUCGUAAAACUCUGUUAUUAGGGAAGAACAAAGGUGUAAGUAACUAUGCACGUCUUGACGGUACCUAAUCAGAAAGCCACGGCUAACUACGUG